rnacentral:rRNA from 1 species
UACGGAGGGGGCUAGCGUUGUUCGGAAUUACUGGGCGUAAAGGGCGCGUAGGCGGAUAGUUUAGUCAGAGGUGAAAGCCCAGGGCUCAACCUUGGAAUUGCCUUUGAUACUGGCUAUCUUGAGUUCGGGAGAGGUGAGUGGAACUCCGAGUGUAGAGGUGAAAUUCGUAGAUAUUCGGAAGAACACCAGUGGCGAAGGCGACUCACUGGCCCGAUACUGACGCUGAGGCGCGAAAGCGUGGGGAGCAAACAGG